GAUGAACGCUGGCGGCGUGCUUAACACAUGCAAGUCGAACGAAACACCUUAUUUGAUUUUCUUCGGAACUGAAGAUUUGGUGAUUGAGUGGCGGACGGGUGAGUAACGCGUGGGUAACCUGCCCUGUACAGGGGGAUAACAGUCAGAAAUGACUGCUAAUACCGCAUAAGACCACAGCACCGCAUGGUGCAGGGGUAAAAACUCCGGUGGUACAGGAUGGACCCGCGUCUGAUUAGCUGGUUGGUGAGGUAACGGCUCACCAAGGCGACGAUCAGUAGCCGGCUUGAGAGAGUGAACGGCCACAUUGGGACUGAGACACGGCCCAAACUCCUACGGGAGGCAGCAGUGGGAAAUAUUGCACAAUGGGGGAAACCCUGAUGCAGCGACGCCGCGUGAGUGAAGAAGUAUCUCGGUAUGUAAAGCUCUAUCAGCAGGGAAGAAAAUGACGG
rnacentral:rRNA from 1 species